AGGAUGAACGCUGGCGGCGUGCCUAACACAUGCAAGUCGAACGUCCUUCUUCUUCGGAAGAAGGGAGUGGCGGACGGGUGAGUACCACGUGGGUUAUCUACCGUGAGGUGAGGAAUACCGGCGAGAAAUCGCCGACAAGACCGCAUAGGCUCGAUGCAAGUCGAGCAAAGCUCGCUCGCAAGAGGGAGCGCCACACGAGGAGCCUGCGCCCGAUUAGCUGGCUGGUGGAGUAAUGGUUCACCAGGGCGACGAUCGGUAGCUGGUCUGAGAGGACGAUCAGCCACACUGGGAUUGAGAACGGCCCAGACUCCUACGGGGGGCAGCAGUGAGGAAUUUUCGUCAAUGGGGGCAACCCUGAACGAGCAACGCCGCGUGCAGGAGAAGGUUUUCGGAUCGUAAACUGCUUUUCUCGGGGAAGAGAACGGACGGUACCCGAGGAAGAAGCCCCGGCUAACUACGUGCCAGCAGCCGC
rnacentral:rRNA from 1 species